UCCUGGCUCAGGAUGAACGCUAGCGGCAGGCUUAACACAUGCAAGUCGAGGGGCAGCGCGGAGUAGCAAUACUCUGGCGGCGACCGGCGGAAGGGUGCGGAACACGUGAGCAACUUGCCCCGUGACAGGGGGAUACCGAUGGAAACGUCGACUAACACCCCGUAACAACGGAUCCCGCAUGGGAUUUGUUUGAAAACCGAGGUGGUCACGGAUAGGCUCGCGGUGCAUUAGCCAGUUGGCGGGGCAACGGCCCACCAAAGCAACGAUGCAUAGGGGUUCUGAGAGGAAGACCCCCCACAUUGGGACUGAGACACGGCCCAAACUCCUACGGGAGGCAGCAGUGAGGAAUAUUGGACAAUGGAGGCAACUCUGAUCCAGCCAUGCCGCGUGCGGGACUAAGGCCCUAUGGGUCGUAAACCGCUUUUGACGGAGAGCAAUAAGGGCCACGCGUGGUCCGAUGAGAGUACCCGUCGAAUAAGCAUCGGCUAACUCCGUGCC
rnacentral:rRNA from 1 species